UCGCUUCUCGCUGCUGCUGCACUCUGUUCAUCCUCAUCCAUCUGUUUCUUCUUACAGCUAAGGGUUUCCAAUUCAUUUCAUGCUCCCCAUUCUCGAAUCUUGAUUAGGGUUUUUCCCACUCACCUCCGCAGAUGGAGGAGUCUUCUCUGCAACUUAUCUUACACACACUUGCCCUACCAAGGAUUCAAAUCCCUUCGGGUAGUUUUUCUGCCUUGAAUUUUAUUUGCAUUUCCGUUUCCAAAUUUCUAUUCAACAAGUCAAAUUAUUGCCAUCAAUCUGGUUAGGGUUUUCAUGAUCCUCAAUCCCGAUUAGGGUUUUUUGCACUCUCAAUCCUUGCGUAUAUAUGACGCCCUUUCAUCUACCAAAUUCGUCUUGGUAUUUUCCUACCUUGAUUUAUGGGUUUCAUUUAAAUUUCUGGCUAAAAAUCUUUGAGCGUAGUAUUUUUCAUUGCUAAGUAAACUAUAAAACUCUCUUUCGGAAAUAUUUUUCUGUGUCAGAGGUAUGACAUAGUUGUCUUUCUCUCCUGUUCUAAUUCUCGCUUUUGUUUAGCUCAGAAUUCACGAAAUUGAGGUUCCGGAAGUUAAGGGUAGAAAUUGAGGUUCCGGAAGUUUAGGGUUAAAAACCAUCACGGGGGCUUCAAAGGCAAACUUGAAGUUUCAGAAUUCCAUUCACAUUCUUUUUCAAUUAAUAAUGUUAGGAGGCAGCUUCUGUUCAUCCUCUAAUGAAGAAUGUGUCUAGUAGUUCGUUGCCAGUUUGGACUCGAACCUUCCAGCACGAGUGAGACGAGGAGAAUGUGCUGGAUUUGAUGGUUUCAGCACUACUGGCCGACAAGAAUCGAAAAUUUAUAUAUGUCGAGCAGUACAUGCAUUUUUCCAAAGAUGAUGGGCAGAUCAGGGUGAGGAUUUCAGGAUGUAGUCAGGAAAAUAAUUAUCUCGGAAAUUGGGGCAUGCGCAUGCAUGAUAGGCAGCAAAACACUACAUCAAUAUAAUUGAUCAACAACUCUUGGGCAUAGAUUUAUAAGGAAGAAUUCGGUGUUACUCCUAUAGUUAGUUGGCAAAUUGAUCAUCCCUUUGGCCAUUCUGCCGUGCGGGCUUACCUAUUGGUAGCUUGUAAGCUGCGUUUUUAUUAUAUCAAGAAAUCCUUUUUGAGGCAAGGCAAAGUAAUUCAUAUUAAAUAUAUUACAGAAUACAAAAAUAUCUGAAGAAGUAGGUGACCUGUGACAUUGAGGAACUAGGGGAUUGGAUAAAUCUUUCGAGAUCUCAUUUGAUGCUUUGGAGAGAGAUUGUGGAUGCAAUAGGUUAACAUUGUGGUGGUUUUAUUCAAUGUGCAACUAGGAUACAAAUUAAAGAUAAUUUAUUUGGUUUUAUAUUGGGAACGAAGAUUGGGUGCCCUUUGUUGGUUACGAUUAUGGGUUGCAGAGUGCCAUUUGGACUAAGAGAGCAGAAUGCUAUCUACUCUGCUCCGCACCGGAUGAAGGGAUUGGUUCUAGAUGUACCUAGCCAUCUCAAGAUAUACAGGAGGCAUCCAACCUGAUUUGUAUGCCUAUUAUAAGGUACUUGGCUAUCUCAAUAUUCUCUUAGAGGUAUGUAUAUUAUUUGUCUUAUAUUUGUUCAUUGAACUUAGAAUACUUGCAAUAUCACUUUUUACGGUGCUACGUAGUCAUUUGCAUCUCCCUUGCUACAUGUUUAUAAUUUUGUGAUAAUUAUUGCAACGAACCUUUGAUUUUGUGAUAAUUAUUGCAACAAACCUUUAAUUUUGUGAUAAUUAUUGCAACGAACCUUCAAUAAUGAAUUCAAGAGUUCAUUUAUGGGUGUUGAAGAGAAAAUUAAUUUAGAAAUUGGGGACCAGUUAUUUGCUCUCUCUCUUUGGGUUUAUUUCCUGAAUCUUUAGAACUUUGAUUAUUUUUAUUAAAUUUUUUAUUUUUCCCUUUUUGACCAAAUACCCAUAUGGUAAGAAUCUAGUACUUAAGUGAGAUCUUAAAAAUUCUGGCAUUUCUUUCAACCCAUAAGCCCCUACCCCAAGCUAUCUUUGUACAAUUCUCAAACCCAAGCUAUCUUUGUACAAUUCUCAAACCCUAGACUAUAAUUCGUAUCAACUUGUACCAACAUUUAUUUCCUUGUCAGCUCUUUUUUCCACAUUGAUUCGGUUGCUUAAGCAUAGUUUUGUUAGUAUACCUUCCCUAAGAGGUCAUCCAUUAGGCAUGUUAAGAAGCUUGCUGAUAUUUUUUAGUACAAUUUUUAACAUCCACUCAAACUACUCAGAUGAAUGCGUCCUCUUUUAAGCUUGUACUUACUUUAAUCAUUUUUUUGUGUGAAACUAACAUUUUUUGGUUAACCAAAGGCUGGCUAGUAUAGCAUCUCUCAGCGGGGGGAACCCAUUAGGCUGGUUAAGGAACUUGAAUCAUUUUACAGAGUACAAUUCUAACAUUCACUCGAUCUACUCAUAUGAACAUGUACUCGUUUUAAGCUUUUUAUUUAUGGCAAAUAGUUUCAACGAUUAGUUCCUUAGCCUUUUUUUGGCCCCUAUUGCAAUCUCUUGUGAAAGCAAAAUUUUUUGUAGUUUACUAAUGGUACUCGUUAGGCUUGUUAAGCAACUUGACCUAUUUUCUAACAUUCACUCAAACUACUCAUAUGAAUGUGUACUCUUUUUAAGCUACUUAUUUAUAGUAAAUAAGUUGCAAAAUUGUUUCAACUAGUACCAACAAUUUUUGUGCCAUUUCGACCAGCAUAGCAUCUCAUAGAGGGAACCAAUUAGGGGCUGGUCGAGCAACUUUGAACCCUUUGCCAGUGCAUUUCUAACAUUCAUUCGAACUACCCAUAUAAAUGGUUGCCAUUGAUAUGUAAGUUGGUUGCCUCAAAUUAUGCAACCAAAGGUUGCUUCGGUAUGUGCAGGCUGUCCCUAAAUAUUGGUUGCUUUGAUACGACGGUUGUCCCUAAAUAUUGGUUGCUUUGAUACGAUGGUUGUCCCUAAAUAUUGGUUGCAUAGAGAUAAACGACCAAUAGUUGCCUAAAGAUGUCAAUUGUCCCUAUAUAUUGGUUACUUCGAAAUAUAAAAUCAAUGAUUGCCUCAAUGUAUUGAGUGUACCUAAAUAUCGGUUGCCUCAAAAUAUAAUUGCAAUUGUUGCCUCGACAAGUCUGUUGUCCCUAAAUAUUUGCAAUGAUUGCUCCAAUACGUUGGUUGUUCCUCAAAUUAAAUAUUUGUUGCCUCGAAAUAAUCGGACCAUUAGUCCGCUCAAUAUGUUCGUCGUCCCUAAAUAUUGGUUUUUUCAUAAUAAAGAACCAAUGGUUUCCUUGAUUAGUCGGUUGUCCCUAAAUAUCCAUUGCCUUGAAAUAAAAGACCAAUGGUUGCCUUGAAAUAUAUUGGUUGAUGAAAGGUUUUCAGUUUUCCUUUUCAUACUUUUAAUGAAAGUUUGUUUUUUCCAAUGGUUGCCUAAAUAUAUCAGGUUUCCCUAAGUUUUGGUUACCUUGAAAUAUAGGACCUGAUGUGUCGCUUGUCUACCUCGAAGUAUAGGAGCAAUGGUUGCCUCAAAAUAUCGAAUAUCUUUUAAUAUUGGUUGCCUCAAUAUAAACAAUCGUCAAAUGUCCCUAAAUAUUGGUUUCCUCGAAAUAAUUGAACUAAUUGUUGCUUC